rnacentral:lncRNA from 1 species
AAGUAACGUUCUUCUGCCUGUUUGCCUUUCGGAGACCCUGGAAGAAGCCACAGCUAAAUUUCCUACAAUCUCUGAUGAUGCACCACAUGUCAGAGAUUUGACAGCUUUAUCCCAUCUCAAGGGCAUGAAAAACAGACAGAGAAAGACUAAAAUUCAGCUGUUUUCUGAAUUUCCGGCAGUGUUACUGGUCAACUGCCAUAGAAGAUGGAAAUCAGCCAACAGCACGCAGAUGAGGAGGAGAAAAGCUUUUCACCUUGCUUAGAAAGUCCUGUGUCACCCAGUCCCCACCAGGCCCUUGGUGCCCUGUCCCACACCUCCCCGCCACAGACAGACGGAUAUGGAACAACUCUUCAUGGUAGCUCUAAAGUCCAUUAAUGAAACGCCACAGAGGUCCAAGGAGAAGCAAUGAAUAUUGGCUACCAGGACUAGUGCAGAAAUUGCAGGGCCCAUUUAGGGGAUGGGAAGUCGUCUGGAAGGUGGACCAGCAGCCGCCUUGGUGACGUGGAACAAGCAAAGCUCUCAAAGCAGACAUCCCCUGUGGGGCCAAGCCCAGCUGGAGAAAUCCAUUUUGGCAGUGGUGUGAAGGCAGAGCCAGACGGGAAGGGACCCAGAGCUGUGACGCAGUGAAGUGCAGCUCUAUCCAGGAUGGAUAAGGAGGCCACAUAGCCCAGGAACUGGCACUGACAUUGUGCCCUGAGGGCGGACUGUGCCAGGGUGGGGACCUGGUGACA